UACAGAGGAUGCAAGCGUUAUCCGGAAUGAUUGGGCGUAAAGCGUCUGUAGGUGGCUUUUAAGUCCGCCGUCAAAUCCCAGGGCUCAACUCUGGACAGGCGGUGGAAACUACCAAGCUGGAGUACGGUAGGGCAGAGGGAAUUCCGGUGGAGCGGUGAAAUGCGUAGAGAUACGGAAAGAACACCAACGGCGAAAGCACCCUGCUGGGCCGACACUGACACUGAGAGACGA
rnacentral:rRNA from 1 species